rnacentral:lncRNA from 1 species
CAGUCUUCCACUAGCAGCCUUUGGAUGAAGACAUAGAACUCUCAGCUCCUCCUGUGCCAUGCCUGCUUGGAUACUGCCAUGCUCCCACCUUGAUAAUGGACUGAACUUCUGAACCUAGAUCUCUGAGCCAAUUACGAAGGCUAAUCCAGAACUGGCAAGGGGGAUUUCUAUGGUUCAACUCUCCCCACUGAAACUCUUGUCUAAAUCUAUUCGUCAUUGUGAAUGUUCCACACAGGAACAGGCUAGGUUCUGAGAAGAGGCGCCCGAGGCAAUCUCACCACUGUGUGAACAUUCAGAGGCAUACGCAAAGGGAAAUGACACAGCAAAAACACAGGACAACAAAAGCAAAAAAUGACCAAGACUAAAGCAACCUCAAAGGCUACCACACGGCAAGGAAAUAUUCCAUAAAAUGAAAAGAGACCUAAGAAGAGAUGGAAAAUACUUGUGAGCCAUAUAGCUGAAAAAGGCUUAGCACCUGAAAUCCACAAGAAACACAACCAAAUAUUAACAAAUUAAGUCCAAUAUAACUCAAUUUAUUAAUUGACUAAGACACUGAAUGUAUUUUUCCUAAAGACCUGCAGUCAGCCAAGAGAUUUACUGGGGGAUCUUUAGCAUCAUUAACCACCAGAGAAAUACAAACCAAAGCCAUAAUGAGAUAUCAACCCACAGUCGUUGGAUGGCUAUGAUCAAAAAGCAAAGGACAGCAAGGGUUAACAAAUGGGUACAGAAAGGGAUUUUUUGUAUUUUCAAUGGACAUGCCAACUGGUAAAGUGGUUAUGGAAUGCUCUAUGGUCAUUUCUCUCCCAGAAGAAGACUGUAGCAUGUGAUAUAGCCGUCGUACUUUUAAGUAUAUGUCUUAACAAAUCAUGAUCAGUAUUUCCAAGAGAUCUCUGAACCUCUAUUGUCAACAAUCAUUAUUCAAAACAGACCAGAUAUUGAAACAACCAAAGUAUUCAUGGUGAGUAGAGAAACAUACACACACGCACACACGCACACGCACAUGCACACUAACACAUACAGAGUAUUAUUCAGUCAAAGAAAACACAGAAUCUUGUGUCUAGAAUAAUAGAUGUGAACUCUGAGAACAAUAGGUGAAGUGAAGUAAGACGGGAACUUUAAAAAUAUGCUGUGCAAUCUUACACCUGCAUAAAUUGAAAAUAAAAAUAAAAUUACCAGAAGCAGAGAAUAUGAUGCCUUGUGCAGGAUCUAGGAGUAUGAUCGAUACAUGAUGUUUCGUACAGAGUCCACACUUCUGAUUAUAGGAUGAAUAAACUCUUUCAGUCUCU